rnacentral:rRNA from 1 species
GAUGAACGCUAGCGGCAGGCUUAACACAUGCAAGUCGAGGGGUAGAAGGAGCUUGCUCCUUUGAGACCGGCGCACGGGUGCGUAACGCGUAUGCAAUCUACCUUUUGCAGAGGAUAGCCCAGAGAAAUUUGGAUUAAUACCUCAUAGUAUGUGAGGAUGGCAUCAUUUUCACAUUAAAGUCACAACGGCAAAAGAUGAGCAUGCGUCCCAUUAGCUAGUUGGUAAGGUAACGGCUUACCAAGGCUACGAUGGGUAGGGGUCCUGAGAGGGAGAUCCCCCA